rnacentral:rRNA from 1 species
GUUGUUUAGUUGAAAAUCAAUUAAAUAAUUUUUGAUUUUGAGUAGUAUUGACUUCAUCAGCUUGCUGCUCUCUUUUCGGAAAUUAUUUAAUGCACUUUUCAGUUAACAAGUCAACAUCAAUUUCUUUUGUUGUAAAAGGGUAAGAGGAAGGUGGCUUACAUUUCGGUGUAAGUGUUUAUAGCCUUUUACCUCUGCAAUCGGAGAGAUUGAGGUCAGCAGCGUAGACUCUUCGGGGUUAGAUACGCUUGUGCUAAGCUAUAGCCUUGUAUAGACAACUUGUUGACUAUACUCAGUCAUGUAGCUUACUCGCUUGUAGUAUUUUACCUAC